UACAGAGGUCCCGAGCGUUGUUCGGAUUCACUGGGCGUAAAGGGUGCGCAGGUGGGCUGGUAAGUUCGAUGUGAAAGCCCCGGGCUUAACCCGGGAAUGGCAUUGGAUACUACUGGUCUGGAGGAUUGGAGGGGGGACUGGAAUUCUUGGUGUAGCAGUGAAAUGCGUAGAUAUCAAGAGGAACACCAGUGGCGAAGGCGAGUCCCUGGACAAUACCUGACACUGAGGCACGAAAGCCAAGGGAGCAAACAGG
rnacentral:rRNA from 1 species